rnacentral:rRNA from 1 species
UAGAUCAGAAGCGAGAAUGUUGACAUGAGUAGCGAUAAAGAGGGUGAGAGACCCUCUCGCCGUAAGUCCAAGGGUUCCUGCUUAAAGCUAAUCUGAGCAGGGUAAGCCGGCCCCUAAGGCGAGGCCGAAAGGCGUAGUCGAUGGGAACCACGUUAAUAUUCGUGGGCCAGGAGGAAGUGACGGAUCUCGAAGAUUGUCUGCCCUUGUCGGAUAGGGUGGGCCGUUUAGAGGUUCCAGGAAAUAGCCCUCCAUCAGACCGUACCCUAAACCGACACAGGUGGACUGGUAGAGUAUACCAAGGCGCUUGAGAGAACCACGUUUAAGGAACUCGGCAAAAUGCCUCCGUAAGUUCGCGAGAAGGAGGCCCCGUCUGUACGCAAGUAUGGGCGGGGGGCACAAACUAGGGGGUGGCGACUGUUUACUUAAAACACAGGGCUGUGCGAAGCCGUAAGGCGACGUAUACAGUCUGACGCCUGCCCGGUGCUGGAAGAUUAAGAGGAGGGGUGCAAGCUCUGAAUUGAAGUCCCAGUAAACGGCGGCCGUAACAAUAACGGUCCUAAGGUAGCGAAAUUCCUUGUCGGGUAAGUUCCGACCUGCACGAAUGGCGUAACGAUCUCCCCGCUGUCUCAAACGUGGACUCAGCGAAAUUGAACUGUGUGUCAAGAUGCACACUACCCGCGGUUAGACGGAAAGACCCCAUGCACCUUUACUCCAGCUUUGCACUGGUAUCAGGAUUGUGAUGUGCAGGAUAGGUGGUAGGCAUCGAAGCGGGGACGCCAGUCUUCGUGGAGCCUCCCUUGAGAUACCACCCUUCGCACUCUUGAUAUCUAACCGCGGCCCGUUAUCCGGGUCCGGGACCCUGCAUGGUGGGGAGUUUGACUGGGGCGGUCGCCUCCCAAAUUGUAACGGAGGCGCGCGAAGGUAGGCUCAGACCGGUCGGAAAUCGGUCGUUGAGUGCAAUGGCAGAAGCCUGCCUGACUGCAAGUCUGACAAGACGAGCAGAGACGAAAGUCGGUCAUAGUGAUCCGGUGGUCCCAAGUGGGAGGGCCAUCGCUCAACGGAUAAAAGGUACGCUGGGGAUAACAGGCUGAUGAUGCCCAAGAGUCCAUAUCGACGGCAUCGUUUGGCACCUCGAUGUCGGCUCAUCUCAUCCUGGGGCUGGAGCAGGUCCCAAGGGUAUGGCUGUUCGCCAUUUAAAGAGGUACGUGAGCUGGGUUUAGAACGUCGUGAGACAGUUCGGUCCCUAUCUGCCGUGGGUGUAGGAGACUUGAGAAGAGUUGCCCCUAGUACGAGAGGACCGGGGUGAACGGACCACUGGUGGACCAGUUAUCGUGCCAACGGUAGUGCUGGGUAGCUAUGUUCGGACAGGAUAACCGCUGAAGGCAUCUAAGCGGGAAGCCCCCUUCAAAACAAGGUCUCCCUUGAGAGCCGUGGAAGACCACCACGUCGAUAGGCCAGAGGUGUAAGUGCAGCAAUGCAUUCAGCUGACUGGUACUAAUUGCUCUAA